rnacentral:rRNA from 1 species
GACGAACGCUGGCGGCGUGCUUAACACAUGCAAGUCGAACGGAAAGGCCCUGCUUGCAGGGUACUCGAGUGGCGAACGGGUGAGUAACACGUGGGUGAUCUGCCCUGCACUUCGGGAUAAGCCUGGGAAACUGGGUCUAAUACCGGAUAGGAGCCAUUUUUAGUGUGAUGGUUGGAAAGUUUUUUCGGUGUAGGAUGAGCUCGCGGCCUAUCAGCUUGUUGGUGGGGUAAUGGCCUACCAAGGCGGCGACGGGUAGCCGGCCUGAGAGGGUGGACGGCCACAUUGGGACUGAGAUACGGCCCAGACUCCUUCGGGAGGCAGCAGUGGGGAAUAUUGCACAAUGGGCGCAAGCCUGAUGCAGCGACGCCGCGUGGGGGAUGACGGCCUUCGGGUUGUAAACUCCUUUCGCUAGGGACGAAGCUUUUUGUGACGGUACCUAGAUAAGAAGCACCGGCUAACUACGUG